UCAUUUCAAUGAGGUUUAAACAUGCGCGGUAAGACAAAUGUAAUGUCUUGGACAUUUCAGUGUGGAUGAAGACUGGAAAUAAUGCCUUUGUUCGUGGUUAAAUGUGGCAUCAUCCGACGGAACUACGUUUGUAUCUGUAGUCCAAAUCUAUGCGCACUCCACACUCCAGAUCAGCAGGUGGCGGUAAUGCAUCUUUACGCUGGUUUGCCAAAACCGCCACAAAACACUAGUAGAAGAAGACGGAACUGCGUCAUGACAUCAUUUAACAAACUUAAGCCGCAAACCUGCUUUUAGAUGCAACACUUUGGAUGUCAACUGCCGUAAAACCCAAUGAAGAAGAAGAACCUGCUUUUAGCGUUUUCGCCUGAAAAUGUGUAGGUCUGCGCCACUAGAGGAAGCGACCUCAAACUGCCACUCGGCCGGAACGACGGGGUGAAAGGCUGAUCGGUGGCGGGAAGUGAGAGGCUUGCUGCGGCCCAGGCUGGUUGGAUUCCAGCUGGAGGAGAGCUCGGUCUCGGGCGGCAUGAUCAUUGUGUCGAGCGAGGCAAGCUCGGAGCUUGUGGCUUGACGAGGAUAGCAGCUUAAUGCUGCUCAUCGGCCUUGUUUGACUGGGAAGGAAAGAUCGCGGGUCCGGCAAAAGCAGCAGGUCUUAUAAAUCCCCGGUGAAGCUCUCUUCGUUGGUACGAAAAUUGGGUCCGUGAAUAUUCCAACCCAGAGAGAGGGACUGGAUUGUGGUCUGUUCAUGCUGAUGUAUGCACUAUAUAUAGCCCUGGACUGGACAUUUGACUUUAGCCAGGAUGACAUCCCUCAGCUCCGAAGGUGAUGGGGUCGUUUGCUCUAGCAAAACAUGUCACAGCCAAGGUUGUCAAAGUCCACCAUCACCAAAAAGCCAGCUAGCACGGAAACUGUGAUGGGUCAAGAUGACAGUGAUGAGUUUCAACAGAAGAUCGCAGAGGAACUGAAGAGGAAGUUCAUAAGGGACAUUGGUGUAGCAUGGUGCUGGUUUCAGGGCCACUGUGAGCUGUUCCAUGGAGAGGUGACAGAGCCUGAAUUUCUCCAGAUGGACGAAGAAAAACAGUCUAAUAUAAAUCAAAGACUACCUGAAAGGAGAGACUGAGAAAGCAAGGGAUGCCUGUUUGUUUGUCUUUGACAAUCGCGAGGAUGGAAACAUUCUUAUUAAAAUUUGUUGAUGAACAGUGGCUGAAAGUCAAUGCCAUGUUUCUGGGAGUAGUUUAAUUUAUAAUAAUAUAUUUACUCUACAUUGUUGAAUAUUAUUGUUUUGUGAA